rnacentral:rRNA from 1 species
UACGGAGGGGGUUAGCGUUGCUCGGAAUUACUGGGCGUAAAGGGAGCGUAGGCGGACAUUUAAGUCAGGGGUGAAAUCCCGGGGCUCAACCUCGGAAUUGCCUUUGAUACUGGGUGUCUUGAGUAUGAGAGAGGUAUGUGGAACUCCGAGUGUAGAGGUGAAAUUCGUAGAUAUUCGGAAGAACACCAGUGGCGAAGGCGACAUACUGGCUCAUUACUGACGCUGAGGCUCGAAAGCGUGGGGAGCAAACAGG